UAAAUCUAAUGUCACAACAACUGAUUUUCAUUCUUUAAAGUGUUAAUCAAAUAGGGCACUUCUUCAUUUAUAUUGUUACUGUAAAGUCCUGAGUUGGGCAUUAACUUUUCAUCCUUAGAUAAUUUAUCCACUUGAAAAAAGGACAGUUUUCCUUAACUCACUUGGAGAGUCCCAAGAAGAUAUGAAAAGGUGUUUGGAAGCAAUAAGGGCAUCUAUGAGAUGCAAAGGUAUGACUCCAACAUGCCAUCCAGCAAGAUAUGGUUUCAUGUGAAGUGUUGAAAUUUGCUUAGUGCAUCCUGGAAAACCAGACUCUGAACUUUCCAUCAACAGCAGAAGCUGUUAAUACCAUGAGACGCAACAUUGCUUACACACUUCUAUUAGAAUUACGUGUCUUUUGAACUUUUUUUAUUCAGUUCUUAUGUGGCUGGAAUGCUAUCUUGUGUGUAUCAUCAUGCACCCACUAAAAAAUGUAGUUAGGUCAGCUAUUUUUAUCUAAUUAGAAACAUUAAGAUAUUGAACAUGUUAGUGUUUAUGUCAAAUUAUUAGCGAAGAACAUUUCAAUACACAUGACCUUGAUCUCUAAUAAAUAAACUACACAUAACACAGCCCAGUGUACAGUGUACAAUGUGCAGUAACAGGACUUGUAUAUGUUUAUGAGAUCAGACCUUAUCAAAAAGUGAUGAUUAGAUGACUGAGAUAUGCACAGAGGAUUAUUGUUGUUCAACUUUCAAAAGAACACUAACAAAUGAAAAUAAUAAAAAAAAAAUCUCCCCAAAAAACAAACGCAAAAACAAUUACCAUUAAGUUUAUUUUGUAGCAUUGAAUUAAAGCUGCGGUCUGAUUUACUCCAGAGUCAGUGGAGAACCUGUGCAGACACUGUGGCAGUGGGGACACAGAAGAUCACAUGUGAGUAAGACAACAAUGUAAUGCAGUGACAAGUAAAUUAAAGCUAACCAUAUACCAUCGUUACAAUAGUUGCAAAGUCAUUAGAUAUACAAAAAAUCAUAAUGAAAUAAAGAAACACCCAAGGCAGUUAAGUGUAAUUUUAUAAAUAUUUUUAAAAGUACAGUCAUAAAGUCCUUCUUAAAUACAGUUCCUUAUCAGUGGCGGCCGGCCCAUAGGGGGCGCUGGGGCACCGCCCUCCCUAAUAAGAAGAGAGAAACGUAAAAUAUAUUUUUAGAAAUUAACUCAUAAAUGUCAGUUUUACUC